AAUGCAUGGUGAUCAUGGCAAGGAAGGGUUGGUCUGUCUAACAAAAUCUGACCCUUUCUCUUUAGAACGUUUGGUUAGUCCCUAUUGGCCAUUACCUGCUCUGCUAGUAAACCCACCAAAAACUAUUCACAAAUCUACUGGUCAAAACAAACCAAUCCCCUCCCUCCCUCCCUCCUACAAGGCCCAAUUUGCCUGGCUCUUCGUAUAAAGAGAGAGUGACUACUUGUUUUGAAAACAGGACUCUGCUACUUUCUUACAUGAACAUCGCGAGAACUCUCACCCUUUUCUUUCUCCCAAAAAAGAUUUUCAUCAUGACCCCAUAUGAUCAUUCCUCCAUCCUUUACCAAAACGCAUUUUACAAAAAGGUUCAAAUACUUCCUUGGCCUUUUAAAAUGGUCCCUUUUUCGCGGCACAAACCCGGAGGCUUUGAGUUUAUUUUUUUAGAUUAACGUGAGUAUCCAGGUCAGCUUGCGCGUACCUCGAUUAUUUUCAUAGGCUCUGAAAUUAACGAUCAUGUAAGCCUCCAGCAGCCCUGAGAUUUGUGGGAUUCGAACUGAUAACCUCUGGAAAGCAAGCUCAAAGCCUGACAAGUUAAACUACGCACUCAGUUUAUUGCUCAACUAGAAAGUGUGACCGUAUAUAUAUACGUACGGGUGCAAAUUAUUUGACACGUGCAUGCACAAAACGUCAAGCAAUUCAGAAACAAUUAGACUGCGGUACGUAGAAAUUAAGUAGAGGAUCAAGUGAGUCUGCAUGCAUGGGAAGGGCAUCAUCACAUGGAUUUGACUUUUGAAGAUUGCAAAUUAACAUACAUUCUUACACACAGAUAUAUAGCAUCAAUAUCUGAUAGGUGAGCAGAAAGUUUGAUUGCAUGCAUGAAUGUGUAAUGCUAGCUGCGAUAUCAGUGAUCAAUUUGCUCUGAAAUAGAAGCAAUAUGUAUAGCUAGAGAGCCUUCUCCUUAAUUACAUGAGCAAUAAACCUCUGUCGUAAUUAAUGCUAUUUAACAUUACUCUAAACUUAAUCAUUAGGAUUCUGAAUAUCAAGAAUCAUUUCUAGCAGCCUAUCUUCUUUCUAAAGUAUUGCUCUAGUUUUCCAUCAUAUCGACAAUCAUCUUCUUGUAACCCAGAAAAAAAAAAAUCAUUGUUUGUCUUUUUGGGGUCUUCAUGUUCUUAGCAUAUGAUGCCUUCAAUUACAAGAACAUAAAUUUUUGCCCACGUCUUUGUAUUACAUUUCAUCAACCAUUGUAGAUAUAAUACUGAAAUUUAAACCUCAAGAACCAAUUUACAAAGUGUUACAGCUUACUACAACAGUAUUUGUUGGAAAAAAACAGGUGUUCUUCAAAAUUAAGAUACUGUGAGUGACAUGUGACCAUGCAUGCAUAAUAUACAUGGAAAGUGCUCUCCAGUCAUCAAGGUCGUCCCUCGUUCGUGUCUUAUCAUUCAAGAGAAAUUAACUGCUUUUUAAUUACUAUCACUGAGCAUCUGAUAGCAAUCCAUCCACAACAUUUGCUUAUGUUUCUAUUGAAGAACCACCAUAGGAAAAGUUCAAGUGCAUGUGCUAGCUAGGAGGGAGUCAAACAAUAUUAAUAGUAUCUUAGCAACUUGUUUGGAGCUUGCAAAUGUGAACCUGAUCACAAUUUUGAGAGAUUGGGAGUUUCGAGCUUCAAAUACCUAUCCUCCUGUUCAAAUUAAUUAAGCUCCAGCAACAUAAUAAAGCUUUCUUGCAGGUGGUUCGCUUUCGACGAAGAAGGUUUGGAUUGAUCAAAAGAUUGAGGAUUGAUGAGAGGCUUGUGGGUUCUUGGAUCAAUUCCUUGGCUUAUCAACUUCUUACUCAGUGUGUGUGUACCUAUUGCCUAGGAGGCGAUGGAGGCGGAGAAUGAGAUCUUCUUCAUCAGGGGAGAUCUGGCCACGUUUAACAGAAGGGCGGAGGUAGUUCAUCCAGCGGAGACGGCAGCUUUUGCCACAGCGGAGAAGACCAGCUUUCUUGGGUAAAGUUCGCCACCGACCUUCACCUUCUUUCUUGAUAUAGUUAGCUAGAAGUUCAUCUUCUUCAGGUGUCCAUGGUCCUCUCUUUAACCCUACCUUGAUGCAACACGGAGUAGAUUUUGCCGCUGGUCCUCCUCCUGCCGCCGCUGCUUCAGCUGUAGCUGUAGAUGAAGUUGGCUUUCUCAUGUUGAAUAAUACGAUACCUUGAAAGUUCUCUCUGUCGAUUGAAGUAAACUUUAUAUACCUACCUACCUUUUUUUCUCUUUGGUUCUAUAUGGAUAUGAAUCUAGGUAGGAUGCCGUGUGUGUGUAUGUGUUGUGUAGUGAUGUGAUGAGAUUUGAGGGUUGAUUGCUACAAAGGAGGAGAAGCUUGGGGAUAUUGGAGGAUAAGGAAAUGGGAACUCUUGCCUUUUGUUUUGUUUGUGUAAGGUAAAUGCCGGUGAUUUUUAUUAUUAUUAUUAUUAUUAUUAUUUCUUUUUGGAUGAGACAGUGUAUGGUUUGUUGGAUUUAUUUGGGAGAGGGGGGGAAAUGAUUUAUAGUCACUCUCCUUGGGGAGAGUGAAGGUAUUAAUUCAACAAUAAUAUUUUUCACGCUAUUUUACAUGUAUUUUGAUUUUCAAUUAAUAUAUACUUAUAUGUGUGCUUCUUAAUUAA